rnacentral:rRNA from 1 species
CGAACGGGUGAGUAACGCGUGAGGAACCUGCCUCAAAGAGGGGGACAACAGUUGGAAACGACUGCUAAUACCGCAUAAGCCCACGGCUCGGCAUCGAGCAGAGGGAAAAGGAGCAAUCCGCUUUGAGAUGGCCUCGCGCCCGAUUAGCUAGUGGUGAGGUAACGGCCCACCAAGGCGACGAUCGGUAGCCGGACUGGGAGGUUGAACGGCCACAUUGGGACUGAGACACGGCCCAG